AUUUUUGUGCCUAGUAACCUUGCUAGACUUUCCUAUUAAUUCAAAACAUUUAGUGUGCUUUUUUUCUUUCUGCAUUUGAUAUAUGUCAUCAAACAAUGACAGUUUUUGUUUUUCCUUUCCAUGGUAGAUAGCAUCUGAAAGUUCUCAGUGGUCCCCCUUUGCAGGUAUUUAAUGCCUUGUGUAAUCCCUUUUCCUUGAGUGUGGGCUGGGCCUAGUGACACUUCUAAGAAACAGAAUAUGGCAAAAAUAGUGGAAUAUCAAUUGUGAUAUUAGGUUGCAAAGAGACUGUAGCUUCCAUCUUGCUUGUCCUCUGGACUGCUCCAGGGAAAACUGGCUGUGAUGUGUCAGCUGCCCUGUGGAGAGACCGUUAGCAAGGAACUGAUAUCUGUGGCCAGUGGUAGGUGACAAUGUGGUGCCUGCCAAUAGCAGUGUGAGUGAUCUUGGUAGUGGUCAGUGGUUGGGCUGUGAGGUAACCCCAAUUAUAGUGGGCAUUUUGAUUGUAACCUUUUGUAAAACUCUGAGCCAGAGGAGUCAGCUAAACUCUUCCUGGAUUCCUAAAGCAUAGAAUGAGAUAAAAAUGUUUGUUGCUUUAAGGCAUUUAAUUGAGUAAUUUAUAAUGAAGUGACAGAUGAAAUACACUUUCCGACCCUCACCACCCCUGCCUCUCCUCUCUUGGCACUGACGGCACUCAGUGUAAUGCUGAAUAGAAGUGGCAAUAGCAUCCAUCAUUAUCUUGUUCCUGAUUUCAAAGAGAAAGCUUUUAAUGUAUUUUAGAGUAUUUGUAUGUAACUUUUUCCUUUUUCUUUUUUUUAAAAUUAGUAUGUUUGCAGUGCAUAUAGUAGUUGAUAUGGUUACAGGACACACCUUAUUUCUUUUCACAUCUCCUUCCCCUCUCCUCUCCUCCCUUUUUAAUCAUGUUAAAAAGUUUCUUUCUACUUCUAAACUGCCAAAACAUUUUUGUUUACUUUGAUUGCCACAGCUUUUUGUUUACUAGAUUGCCAAAGCAUUUUGUUUUUUGUAUAUAUAUAAUAUAUAUAUAUAUAUUAUAUAUAUAUAUGUUUUUUGGUUUUUUUUUCUUUUUUUACUAGGGAUGGAACUCAUGACCUUGUGCUUGCCAGACAGGUGCGGUGUCACUGAGCUAAAUCCCUGGCCCUGUUAUAAUGUAUGUUUUAACCAUAAGUUGAUGUGAAAUCUUAAUAAAAAUGCCUUUUCUGCAUUUAUAGAGGAUUUUGUAGGUUUUAUUCUUUAAUCUGCCAAUGGGGUAAACUAGUUUCUAAUAUUAAACCAACACUGGGUUUGGCUGGGGGUGGUUGCCACUGUGUUCUAUAAUUUUAAUGCAUACCUAGAUUUUGUUGUUAUUAUGCAAUGUGUCAUUCUUGUGUCUAUGUUCAUGAGUAAAAUUGGC
rnacentral:lncRNA from 1 species